UUGGCCACGAAUUAGGUGUUAUGUUGUUUCU
rnacentral:piRNA from 1 species